UACAGAGGUCUCAAGCGUUGUUCGGAUUCAUUGGGCGUAAAGGGUGCGUAGGCGGCGCGGUAAGUCGGGUGUGAAAUCUCGGAGCUUAACUCCGAAACUGCAUUCGAUACUGCCGUGCUUGAGGACUGGAGAGGAGACUGGAAUUUACGGUGUAGCGGUGAAAUGCGUAGAUAUCGUAAGGAAGACCAGUGGCGAAGGCGGGUCUCUGGACAGCUCCUGACACUGAGACACGAAGGCCAGGGGAGCAAACGGG
rnacentral:rRNA from 1 species